ACGAACCUCUGGAGAGCCUCAAUUGAGCACCGAAGGAGCAAGCUGAUACUAAAUCAGUGAAUCUCUCAGGUAAAAGGACAGAGCAGA
rnacentral:ncRNA from 1 species